AUGACAAUGAAGGUGUUGCUGUAUUUGUGUUUCAUGUCAGUGUGCCUGGCCGCAGACGUUGUUCAGAACCCAAAGUUCAAGCUGGUUCGGCCUUUGGAGACGGUGAUAAUGAACUGCACCCAUGAGGACGCAAGCUUUAAUUAUAAGUACUGGUACCGCCAGGGGAAGGGGGAAGCCCUGCUUCUCAUUGGCUACGCAUACAGGACAGACAAAGCCACUAUGGAGGUCACAGAUGAGAGAAUCACUAUGAAGCCUGAUGGUCCUCUGAAGAACAUCUUAAGCAUUACUAACGUCUCAGCGGCAGACAGCGCUGUGUAUUACUGUGCCAGCAGCAUCCACAGUGACAGAGUCGCAGAGUGA